rnacentral:rRNA from 1 species
UACGAGGGGUGCAAGCGUUGCUCGGAAUUAUUGGGCGUAAAGGGUAGGUAGGUGGUCUCAUUUGUCUGGGGUGAAAGCCUUGAGCUUAACUCAAGAAGUGCCCCAGAAACGGUGAGACUGGAGUCUUGGAGAGGGUCGUGGAAUUCCCGGUGUAGCGGUGAAAUGCGUAGAGAUCCGGAAGAACACCGGUGGCGAAGGCGGCCUGCUGGGCAGUUUUGCUGACACUGAGGCGCGACGAGCGUGGGGAGCAAACAGG